rnacentral:tRNA from 1 species
UGGGGCGAUGGCGGAAUGGUAGACGCCGGAGACUUAAAAUCUCCUGACUGCAAGGUCGUGGGGGUUCGACUCCCCCUCGCCCCAU